AUGGAAAUGGCUUCUAAUAUUGCUCACAACAUAUUCAAAGAGGCUUAUAUAUUUUCUCUCGUCUUUGUUAGACGUGGUGAUGUUUUGGCCAUAAGCAGUCCUUUCAAGGAGAGGGAUACAUGGAAAGAAAAGGCUGGAGCUAUGGAGCUGAAUUGCACCAAUCUUCAGAAGGAGCUCCUUUCAUCGAAAGAGGAGGUUACUUAUGCUAAUUAUUUGCGGGAGACUAUGAAAGUGCAUAACUCUCCCUCUACUAUAUAG